CUAUACAAAAUCACUCUCUUAUUAAAAAAAAAAUUAGAAAAAAAAAAAAAAAAACCUCUCUUAUCUAACGCUUUUCUUACAAAAACGCUCUGCACAAGCAAACACGCUUUCGCUCUUGCACUCGCCCCCCGUGCAAAUUUUUAUCACGCGCGUGCAGUUCGAGUAACACUCCGUUAUGCAAUAUGCGUCCGAGUUUUUCUCCUCCGCUUCCACCACCGCCAUCAGCGCCGCCGCCGCCACGGAAAUCGCGAUUGCAGCAACUACAGUAAUCCAACUUCUUUUUCUUGCCAUUUUUUUUUCUUCCUUUUUUUGAAAAUGCAAAGGCGAAUAAAGCGUUGACUUCAGUUUGUAGGAGGGCACGUAUAUUUUUUUUUCUUAUAGGCUGUGUGUUUUUAUUGAAUGGUUACAACAUUUGAUUUCAAGUUGGUGCUUCUUUUUUUUGGCCGAAUGGAUGUGAU
rnacentral:lncRNA from 1 species